AGAUUAAGCUUUCUUCCUCACAAACAAGCCAGGACAGGAUUGUUGUGCGAGGUUGUUGUGUUUACCGAAUCAAUUCUCCCUUAGAAACACCCUGAAGCGACACUUGCCGUCUUAGCCGAUAAUCAGUCGACUCGCCUGAACAACCAACCAGCUUUAUUUAGUAACAUUCGCGUCUCCAUAACCUCUUAUUUCCCAGCAAAUCCUAUUUAUUCGACCCCAGAAACCCGUCAUUGAUACAAGAAAGCAUGGCUGACGUCAGUAGUGAUUACAUCGCCACAAAUACUGCCUUCGCUUCGGAUGGGAAUAACUCGGCAAAUGCUGCCACUUCUUCAGAUCCAAAGAACGUACAGGAUUUGACGAAUUACGUAAGUAUUACAUACUUUUUUUUCUUCUUCUCUUAUCCAUAUAAUAAUGCUCCAAAAUACACAAGAACCGACCAACUUUACUUUCAGUCUAGUUUCACCAUCCACUUCACGCACCGACACGCAACUAAUUAAUCUGAUUAAGCCAAAGAUGGAACCACUUCUCUAUAUGGUCUUUCCUGCUCUGUUAUUAUCCUUCCAUUCACAUUUACGACGCUUUGUGCCAAUACUAAAUCGACUUCUUGCUAUUCGACUACUCUAUUAUUUUAUCAACCCCGGAAACAUAAAAAAGGGAAGUUCACCCUAUAUGGGAUUUGAACUCGGUACGUAAAGGAUCGUAGCUAAACUACACAAAGCGUUUUCUCUGAUACCUUCAGCGAUUCUCGUAUUGCACCGCUUAUUAACCGACUAGAAAUAGAUACCAAAACUCCCUGUAAAUUGUAAUAGGCACCGUUUUGGAAAAAGCUUACGUAUAGGGUGACAUAAAACUUAGAUUAUCUGAAAAAAAGACGGUGUGGUCACGGCUGGAAUGGCUGUGGUCGUCACAAGUUUGUUUACUCCAUUGGAGCUAACAACCUAGGGUCGAACCACAAUAAUAUUUAAAUAGUUAAUUGGAAAGUUGAACUUCAUGUAGUGAGCCAAAAAAAAAAUUAAUUAUCAUUACGUCCGUACUUAAUAGUAAACUCGUUAGUUUUGAUAAUUAACACUAACCUUUUUACUACCUUACUUAGUACUUGGGUACUUGGUUUCCAUUUUUUUAGAAACUUGGUGUGGAAUAUUUUACUGAAAGUCAUUUUGUCACCUUUGAAAGGACAAAACAAACGAAAUUCGCUCAUCUUGAGUCGAAGUUUACGAAGUCUAAAAUGUUUAUCAGUAAAAACAGCUCCGUCUUGUAUAAUUCUUCACUAAAACUUCUUCUACUAUUUCUAAGCGCUUACUGGAAUCAGUGUCGACUACAAAUAAACCAUUUAAGGCGAGUCUUUGACUCGUGUAACGUUUUUCAAAAUGAAAAUAGCUCCGGUUCAAAGAUAUUGUUUUAAAAGCAUGUCAACCUUACCUUCAAAUAAUCUAUCAUAGAAACCCUUAACAACCAAAAGAUAAACUCCGAGUCGGGAGUAACAACUGAAACAGACUCAGCUUUGAAUAGUUAUUGUUCCGGUCUAACUAAAUAAACAAUACGGAGGGAGUACUUGCUUUCGCUUAAUUUUAACCCACGCCAAGGAAAAAUUACCAUACACCAUAUAUAUAUAUAUAUAUAAGAUUAAUCAGCCGAAAUUGCUAGGAUGAUCCGGUUCUUGACUGAAGAUUGAAGGCUUCGAAUGUCCCGUCCGUGUUUUUUGUAUCGUCUUCUAAAUGUUUUACGUUCUUGUCCCAGUUUGUAUUUUUCUACAUAUUUAUAUAUAUAUAUAUAUAUAUAUAUAUAUAUAUAUAUAUUUGCUGAUAUAUAUAUAUAUAUUUGCUGAAUGUAUAUAUAUAUACGUUCAGCAAAAAUUUUGAUUCAAAUGAAUAUGGUACUUAAUUUAGAUGCACCAGAAUUCUGUAUGGUGUUAUCCAUAAAAAUCCGUGGGGUGAUUAUAAUGAAAAUAAGCAACAAGAAUGACUCCGGUAAUCAUUCUUGUUGCUUAUUUUGAGUAUAUAUAUAUAUAUAUAUAUGUAUAUGUAUAUAUAUGUAUGUAUGUAUGCCUAUGUGUGUGUGAAUGUUUUUAUCUUAGGUGAAAAUGAAACCAACUUUACAUUAAUCUGAGGGGUUACUGUAUACUUUUGUAGAGUACAAGUUUAUUUUUUGAACGAGAAUAUUGUUCACACUGGCUCCGAAGUUUCGGCCAGCUAAACAGUCUCACAAUGGCCUUAAUUGGUCGAAACUUCGAAGUCGCUGUCAAUAUUCCUGCAUAGGAAUAUGUGUGUGUGCAUACACACAUGCAAUAUGGCCAUGCUGUGACACCCUAUUCAAACAUUUUAGUCACAUCAACGCCUACCCUUCCACAGUUUAUUACAGAUAGACGUUUUCCUCUUAUUAUUUGCAACGAACUGUAAUUUUAUAUUUUACAGAUAAUCUUGUGAUUUGUUCCAAUCUUUCCUUGUCCUCACUGCAUCUAUAUUCUCUUAAUUUCUCACAAACAACAUCCUGUCACUUAGUCUCACCCCACCCCGUCUCUAGGAAGUUAGAACUGAAUAAUGGACAGUUGUAGACAAAAGCUUUGUAUAUUCCUGUAAAGCAGCAAAAAUGUAGGCGCAGGAGUGGCUGUGUGGUAAGUCCCACUGCGUGGCACCUUGGGCAAGUGUCUUCUGCUAUAGUCCCGGGCCGACCAAAGCCUUGUGAGUGGAUUUGGUAGACGGAAACUGAAAGAAGCCCGUCGUAUAUAUGUAUACAUAUAUAUGUGUUUGUGUAUCUGUGUUUGCUUGACAACCGAUGCUGGUGUGUUUAUGUCCCGGCAAAUGAGACUGGGCUUACAAAGGAAUAAGUCGAGUUGCUUGAUUAAAGGUGGUGCUCCAGCAUGGCCACAGUCAAAUGACUAAAACGAGUAAAGAGUAUGUGAAUGGAAUUAUGGAAGUCGUUAAUCUGCUAUUUAACUGAUAUUAUUUAAAAUUCUGUCCAAGUCGACGUUAUUUCUCAUCUCACCUCAGAUUUCAAAGUACCAUUGGAAUCAGCUAAAAAUUCUCCCUCCUAACUGCAUAGCCUUAUAUGUAAUGUAAGAAGUUGCUACUGUAAUCAUCAUCGUCAUCUGACAUCCAUUUUGCAUGCUGGCAUGGGUUGGAUGAUUUGACAGGAGCUGGCCAACCAGAGAGUCGCACCAAGCUCCAGUUGUCUGUUUCAGUAUGGCUCUUACAGCUGGAUGCCCUUCCAAAUGCCAACCACUACAUAUUGUGGACUGGAUGCUUUUUUAUGUGGCAUCAGCUCAGGUGAGGUCAGUUUAAGCAUGGUUUUUACAGCUGGAUGCCCUUCCAAAUGCCAACCACUACAUAUUGUGGACUGGAUGCUUUUUUAUGUGGCAUCAGCUCAGGUGAGGUCAGUUUAAGCAUGGCUUUUACAGCUGGAUGCCCUUCCAAAUGCCAACCACUACAUAUUGUGGACUGGAUGCUUUUUUAUGUGGCAUCAGCUCAGGUGAGGUCAGUUUAAGCAUGGCUUUUACAGCUGGAUGCCCUUCCAAAUGCCAACCACUACAUAUUGUGGACUGGAUGCUUUUUUAUGUGGCAUCAGCUCAGGUGAGGUCAGUUUAAGCAUGGCUUUUACAGCUGGAUGCCCUUCCUAAUGCCAACCACUUUAUAGAGUGGUGGGUGCCUUUUAUGUGGAGCCAGCAUGAGUGCUUUUUGCUUGGCACCAAAACAGGUGCUUAUUAUGUGGUACCAGCACUUAGUCUGAGGGUAGAGGUCAGGUUACAGUACCCAGCAAAUUUUUUUAGCAGUCCCUAUCUCCAAACUAGGAUAUCCAGACACUUUGGUACACAGUUAAAGUGUUUAGGCUAGGGGCUGAAUUACUUUGCUCCCACAGGAAGAGUUACUUGUGGAUAGACUGGUAUCCUAUCCAUUGAGAGAUAACACUGUAUGACCCAGAGGUAAGUGUUGGUUCAUUGAACUGUGGAAAUCUGUGAAACAACCGUGACUCCUUAGACAGUAGUGAUGUUGGAUCUUCUGUUGGUUUUGACAAUCAACAUUUAGUUAUUAAUUAACAUACAAAUGGUUGAGUAUCCCUAAUAUAAUUUCCAGGUAGAGUCGAUGUGUUACACUAUGUGAUGAGGCCUGACUUUUCAAUAUUACCUGUACGGGCCAUUCAGUAGUCUUUCAGUGCCACUCACAAGGUUUGGGUCACCUUGAGACUGUGAUUAAAAACACUCAUCCAAAAUGCCACAGUUAUGUCAGGUGAAUAUAACGAAGAAGAGACAGCCUAGACUACAACUAAAAUCCCAGAGUCUCAAUAUCAAGUUUAUCUAAUUAUAGACAGUGGCUAAUUCCUGUAAUAAACAUUAAAUCUUUCCAAAAUUAACCCCAAAUAUUUUAUUCUGACCCCUAUACAUAUUUUCAGAUUAAUUUUAAUUGCUUCUCAUUUAGUUUUUAUCUUUACUCAUCAAACAUUUACAUCAUAAAACAAUGGGUGAAAUAUCUCAACAAAUAAAGAAUUUAAAAAAAAAUUCUUCUAUAAAUUCCCUGAAUUUUGAUUCCAGUUGCAAAUAAUUAAGACUAACAAAACAGGUUCCAUUCAAGUACUAUAAUGGUUUAUAUUUUUUCUCUUUUAUUUAAUUGCUCCUUUUUUGAGUUAUUUUGAUUCCAUGGUGCUACAACAGAAUGUAAAGAAUUUCAGAGAAAAGGAAUUGUCUGUGUAAUAAUGACCAUUGUUCUGGCAAUUGCUCCGUAUCCCACAAACCAAAUACUGUGUGUGUGUAUGUGUAUAUUGACAUAGGAUGGUGUUGUUGUAACAUGACAUAUGGUGUGAAUUGGGCACUUUUUAUCAGAUGUCACAGAGGCCAUCCUUCUCCAGCUAAUUUCCUAAUAUAUAUAUAUACUUUGCUCCCACUAUAUAUAUAUAUAUAUAUCAAAAUAAGCAACAAUAAUGACUCCGGUAAUUUGGUAUGAUCAUUUCGUACUACAUCAUUUUAUUAAAUGUUGUAAGUAUUACAACAGUUUUAAAAUGCUGAGCACUCAUCAGCCAAUUAUAGAGGUUUUCCAUUAAUACAAAAAUUUUCAUAUAUAUAUAUAUAUAUAUAUAUAUAUAUAUAUAUAUAUAUAUAUAUAUAUAUCAUCACCACCACCACCACCAUUGUUUUAAAUAUUCAGUUUUCCGUGUCUUCACUGGUCAGACAAAAUUUGUUGAAGCAGAUUUUCUGUGGCCAGAUGCCAUUUCUGUCUUCAACACUCACCUGUUUCUAAGUAAGGUAACAUUUUCCUUCGUCCUUUCACCACAACCAGUAUAACAGCUGGACAUGUUUUCACAGGAGAUUGCAAACAAGCAUCACCAUUUGUGUGUCGAAGAUAGUUGCUUACAACUAGUGCAUGACGUCUAGGAAAGGGAAACGUGAAACCUGAACACACUCAUUCACACACACAUCAUCGUUAUCAUCAUCAAUUAGUGUCUGUUUUCUGUGCUGGCAUGGGUUGGACAGUUUGACUGGAACUAGUAAACCGGACAGCAGCACCAGGCUCCAAUCUUUGGUAUGGCUUCUACAGCUGGGUGCCCUUUGUAAUAUCAAGCUCACUUAUGCUCUGUCAGUGAGUACCGUAAACCCUCGAGUAUAAUCCGCAAUUUUUCCCCAAAAUUUAAAGGUCAAAAUCCCUAGUGCGUACCAUAUACGAGGUUAAAAAUGAAAAAUAUUUCCUAAGCAAUGUCCGAGUCUCUAUUUGCUGUCCGGCAAUGUUUAUUCUGAUGCAUUUUGUGAUGUCGGGCAUGAAAAUACCCUAAGCUAAGCCUGAAAGCAAUGAAAUCAUAAAAGAAUCAUCCAUAACUUGCAGUAAGCAACAUUUAUUAAAUGUUAUUACUGUUAUUUCUUUAUUUUCUGCAAACAAAAUGCACAAAAAAGCUACACAUUUGCAUUAUGUUAUAUAUACAAUAAUAAUAAAGGACAUUACCAUAUACAUUUUUACAAACCAAGGACGUUAUAUAGACCUCCUUGACUCAAGUUAGAGAUGGGGUUGCGUAUUAUACACAAGGUUUGGGUUUUUCAAAGGUACAGCCCCCUAAAAAUCCCCUGCAUAUUAUACUCAAGGAUUUACGGUAAUCAUAUGUUUUAAAUGCUUCAUGAAAGCUAUACUACUCUUGCAGUCAUAAUCAUAUACUUACAUCUAUGGUGAUGAGGUCUCCAGGUGGCACCACCUGUAUACGUAUCUUUUCAGAGACAUAGUGGCCAAAUGAUUCACAUUGCACAGCUGGAACAGAGAGUGCGAGUUCAAAUCUGGUCCUGGGUGUUUCAUAUUCUGUUGUUUCUGUAUUUCCAGUUGUUUAGGAAUGAUACACCAAGAUUUUUCUGUGGGCGAAGUGCAUUCCCUCUUUCAUUCUCUUCCACCCACAGCACCUUGCUACCUGCACCUUGAUUACCAAGGACAUACAUCUAAGCAAUACAUAAGAUAUGUAUUGAAAUAUAAAAUUAAAAUAAUGUUUACACCAUAGGAGUACCUUCUGGGUAUGCUGCAGAAGUUUCUCACACUCACCAAAGAUGGUAAGUUUUCUCUGCCAUAUUUCUCUACUUGCUGUAAUAUGAUAUAAUCUGGUCAUAAUUUCUUUUCAAGUCUUAUCUAUAAUAUAAAUUGGACAUGGGCGAUCAUUGUAUUCUUUCUUGUCUUGAGGUUCACAGCCAAACGGCUGGGUGGAUUCACCUGAAAAAUGGCACGUAUGUGGAGACGGGUGCAUAGAUUGGAAUGUGGUUUGUACUUUUUUCCUAGCCCCCAUAGUUACCGAGAAAAUUGAUUCAGGGGACCUGAAAUGAUAAGGUUGAGAAACACUGUUACAGAUUAUGCCCAACCGAAAACAAUCACAGCCACAUCAUCCAAACAGACUGGGUGAAACCGGGCUUAGCUGCUAGUAAUAUAUACUUAUAAACAAGAGUAAGUCAGAGUGAUGUUGUAUUCUGUAUAGAAAUAGCCAUAAGUUUGUUAUACUUAAAGCACAACAGUAGUUGCAGUAGUAGUAGUUGGUAGGACAUGGUAACACACCCUGUGACAUUAACCCUUUUAAUACUAAUCCAUCCACCCAAGACUGGUCCUAGAUCUAUAAUACAAAUUUUCUCAAAAUUUUAUCUCAAUUUGUGUUCUAAACAUCUGUUUGACACUCUGGCAUUUAAACCAGCCAUAUCUGGCCCAAAUAUUCUACCUGUUCUAUCUUCAGGCUAGCCAGAUCCAGCCUCUCACACCUACCCUGCAAUGUCAUUCUAAAAGUAAACAAUCGUAACUUUGAAAUCUGAAAGUUAGCAGAUAAUACAGGAUUAACUUUUAAUAAACAAGCAUUACAUUUGAAUUGAGUAAAUAAAUAACUAGAGAAACCAAUAAAUCUGCUUGAUAACUUGGUUUACCUGGUAUUAGGGGUAUAAUUCCACUAAACAGAAGAGAGAACAAGAUUCAAUCACUGUAAAAAAAAUAGACCCAAAGAUGAGACUGGGCCAGAGCCAGGCCUCCCUCAAAGGAAAGGCAUACAAUGAAUUUUAUAUGUUCAUUU
rnacentral:lncRNA from 1 species